AAAGCAAUCAAGAGUUUCUUCUACUUCAUCUAGCAGGCUAAAUUUAGGCCUCAAACCAAUUGUCCAUAUCUCAUCUAUAAUUUUAGCAUCCGUCAAUUGAUAGGACCAUUAAGGCAUCGGCACCAUUGGCAAGCCAAGGAUCAAUCCUUUGAGAGUCGAAUUUCAUCCACAAUGAAUCACGAAACAAUCAACGGCUUGAUUUGCUAGUGUUUCACUACUAAAAAAAAGGGCGUUUUCGACCAAAAAAUUUCGACCACAUUUUUGGUCGAAAACAAAUCGACCACGCGCGGUCGAAAAAUCAAGAAUUUUUUUUUAAAAUUUUCAGUAGGAUUUCGACCACACGGGGUCAAUUUUUUAAAAUGAAAAUAUAAUUUCGACCACGUGUGGUCGAAAUUAAAUUUUAUAUAAAUAAUAAAUGAGAAACGUUUAAUUUAAAAAAAAAAAAAACAAUUUUCGACCACAUGUGGUCGAAAAUUGGGCCACAUUUAUUCCACAUCUGGUCUUUACUUUUCAAUUCAAAAUUUUUCUUUCUCUCUCUUUCCUCUCUCCCUCUCCUCUCUCUACCAACACACACCACCUUUCUCCCUCUCCUCUCUACCCACACCACCAGCCCACCACCCCACCAGCCCAGACCCUCAACCCACUGCCUUCCGACCACCGCCAGUUCACCGUCGGCGGCGCAACCCAUUAUUUUCAGGUGUUUUGGGCACUCGUGUAUGACAUCAGUGUGUAUGUCGCCUUUAAUUCAGUGGUAGGUUCACGCAAUUUCUUCAAAAUCAAUCAAGGGUUGCAAGUGUCAUCAAGGACGGUCAGGGCUCCAAGUCUUCAUGCCUGUUAUAUCUGGAUGAGUGGAAGCAACUCAGGCAAACAAUUGAGGAAGUAUGUGUUACUGCUAGAGACUGUUGAUGUUUGGGCGGAUGCAAGCAAGAAAAAUGGGGAAGAGAAGAGUAUUCUCAGAGUUUCUGAAGCUCUUGGACACCGAACAUGGACCUUUUUGAUUAAUGUGCUUUUGGAUUCUAAUUCUGCUAUAUUUAAAUGGAUAUGUAUAUUAUGUUUAAGGGUUUGAAUGUAGUUUUAAUUUGAACUACAACUACUUUUAAUUUUAAGAUGUUUAAGUGUUUGAACAUAGUUUAUGAUGUUUAAGUGUUUGAAAUUUUGAAUGGACAAUGUUUAAGUGUUCAAGUGUUUGAACAUUGCUUA